rnacentral:rRNA from 1 species
AGAGUUUGAUCCUGGCUCAGGACGAACGCUGGCGGCGUGCUUAAUACAUGCAAGUCGAACGGGGUAUAGCAAUAUACCCAGUGGCGAACGGGUGAGUAACACGUGAGCAACCUGCCCUAUACAGGGGGACAACAGCUGGAAACGGCUGCUAAUACCGCAUAAGACCACAGUACCGCAUGGUACAGUGGCAAAAGGCUACGGUCAGUAAAGGAUGGGCUCGCGCACUAUUAGCUAGUUGGUGAGAUAAUAGCCCACCAAGGCGACGAUAGUUAGCCGACCUGAGAGGGUGAUCGGCCACAUUGGGACUGAGACACGGCCCAGACUCCUACGGGAGGCAGCAGUAGGGAAUAUUGGUCAAUGGAGGAAACUCUGAACCAGCAACGCCGCGUGAAGGACGAAGGUUUUCGGAUUGUAAACUUCUGUUAUGAGAGAAAAAUAAAUGAUGGUAUCUCAUGAGUAAGCCCCGGCUAACUAUGUGCCAGCAGCCGCGGUAAGACAUAGGGGGCAAGCGUUGUCCGGAAUAACUGGGCGUAAAGAGAGCGUAGGCGGUUUUGUAAGUCGAUGGUGAAAUCCUGGGGCUCAACUCCAGAAUUGCCAUCGAAACUACAAAACUAGAGUGUGGGAGAGGAAGAUGGAAUUCCUAGUGUAGCAGUGAAAUGCGUAGAGAUUAGGAGGAACAUCGGCGGCGAAGGCGAUCUUCUGGAACACAACUGACGCUAAGGCUCGAAAGCGUGGGGAGCAAACAGGAUUAGAUACCCUGGUAGUCCACGCCCUAAACUAUGGAUACUAGAUGUUGGGGGUAUCGACCCCCCCAGUGUCGCAGCUAACGCGUUAAGUAUCCCGCCUGAGUAGUACGUUCGCAAGAAUGAAACUCAAAGGAAUUGACGGGGACCCGCACAAGCAGAGGAGCAUGCGGUUUAAUUCGUCUCUACGCGAAAAACCUUACCAAGGCUUGACAUCGGAUGCAUAACAUGGAAACAUGUGAAAAGAUAGUAAUAUCUCAUCUAGACAGAUGGUGCAUGGUUGUCGUCAGCUCGUGUCGUGAGAUGUUGGGUUAAGUCCCGCAACGAGCGCAACCCUUGCUUUUAGUUGCCAUCAUUAAGUUGGGCACUCUAAAGGGACUGCCGUGGAUAACACGGAGGAAGGUGGGGAUGACGUCAAAUCAUCAUGCCUCUUACGCCUUGGGCUACACGCGUGCUACAAUGGCCACUACAAAGGGAUGCCAACCCGCGAGGGGGAGCGAACCUCAUAAAAGUGGUCUCAGUUCAGAUUGCAGUCUGCAACCCGACUGCAUGAAGUAGGAUUUGCUAGUAAUCGUGAAUCAGAAUGUCACGGUGAAUAAAUACUCGGGUCUUGCACUCACCGCCCGUCA